GAAUAUUCACAUCCUUCAAUCAAUACAAAAACGUAAUGAAAAGAUCCCCAUGAUAAAAGAGAGAAAUUAAACACACACAAAUUAAAGAAAUAUAAAGAAUGGAACUAGUGAAAGGUGGUCCAUUACUAUUACAGCAAUUCAAAGCUCUAUUUUUUAAAAACGUAUUGCUUUCAUGGCGUCACAAAUGGGCAACCAUUAUCCAACUCUUCUCUUCUUUAAUUUUUAUUUUUUUGAUGUUUUCUAUCCAAAAAGCAAUAGAAACGCAAUUCAAGAAUACUACUUACUACGACACCGUUUUGGAUCCUACGUCUAUUAUUUUUCCUUCCAUUUCUCCAUGUGAAGAUAAGUUCUUCGUUAAACUUCCUUGCUUUGAUUUCGUGUAUAGUGGAAAUUCCAGUAAUAAUGUCAAUCGCAUCGUCUCCAGCAUUAUGGCUAACAAUCCUGGCCGUCCAAUUCCUGCUUCUAAGGUUCAGUCCUUUACAACAGAAGCUGAUGUUGAUGCAUGGCUUCUUAGUAAUCCGAUGUAUUGCUCAGGAGUGUUGCAUUUCAUGGAACGAAACGAGACAACAAUAAGCUAUGGUGUUCAAACUAAUUCUACAGCUGUACAACGAAGAGGGAAGUAUGAAGAUCCUACCUCCAAAUUUCAAAUUCCACUCCAGAUUGCUGCAGAACGUGAGAUAGCAAGAUUUCUUAUUGGAGAUCCAAAUUUUAGCUGGACGAUUGGUUUCAAAGAAUUUGCACACCCUGCUCGAGACCCCUUCUCUGCUAUUGGCACUAUUGGUCCGACCUUUUUCCUUGCCGUUGCCAUGUUUGGUUUUGUGUUCCAGUUGAGUUCCCUAGUGAUGGAGAAAGAACUAAAACUUAGACUGGGGAUGAGUAUGAUGGGACUGUAUGAUACUGCCUAUUGGAUGUCCUGGCUAGCUUGGGAGGGUGUUCUUGUGGUUGUUUCAUCAACUUUCAUCGUACUAUUUGGCAAGAUGUUUCAGUUUGAUUUCUUCUUACACAACAAUACUACAAUCUUGUUCCUUGUCUUCUUUCUGUUCCAAUUAAACAUGACCGUCUUUGCAUUCGCACUAUCAGCUUUCAUUAGCCAAUCAUGUUCAGCCACAAACAUAGGAUUCUACAACUUUAUCAUCGGCAUAAUCUCUGAGAUCGUGACCACAAUUGGAUUUCCUUACAAUAAUAGGUUCUCUCAAACAUACAGAGUCAUAUGGUCUUUAUACCCUCCAAAUUUAUUCGCAAAGGCUCUUCAUACACUCACUAAAGCAAGUAGGAUACAUCAGGACUCUGGAAUGAGCUGGAGCCAAAGGACAAGAUGUGCACCCAAUGACGAUAAUUGUAUUUUGACAAUGAAUGACAUCUUCAUAUGGCUUUUAGGGACGUCUGUUAUGUGGUUUGUCUUGGCUCUUUACUUUGACAAUAUAAUUCCAAACCCUAAUGGAGUACGAAAAUCAGUUUUCUACUUCAUGUACCCUGGAUAUUGGACUGGCAAAGGCGGAAGCAAGGCAGAAGAGGGUGGCCUAUGUACAUGCUUUCAUUCUUCCUCGCAACUCGAGCACCCAACCCCUGAAGAUGAGGAUGUUCUUCAAGAAGAAAACAUUGUAAAACAACAAGCACACGAGGGUGUUGUUGAUUCAAAUAUUGCUAUCCAAAUAUGCGGCCUUGCAAAGGCCUAUCCGAGAUCAACAACUCUUGGAUGUUGUAUAUGCAAGAAAACCCCUCCUUACCAUGCUCUCAAGGGCUUAUGGUUGAAUCUUGCCGAGGAUCAGCUAUUUUGCCUCUUAGGACCUAAUGGAGCUGGUAAAACUACAGCAAUCAAUUGUUUGACUGGAAUUACGCCAAUCACCAAUGGAGAUGCAUUAGUCCAAGGACAUUCCAUCCGAAACUCUGUUGGCAUGUCAAGGAUUCGAAAAAUGAUAGGCGUGUGUCCACAGUUUGAUAUUCUGUGGGAUGUAUUGACGGGUGAAGAGCACCUCAACCUCUUUGCAAAUAUCAAAGGUUUACAUUGUGAAGCAAUUUCGAUGGUUGUUCAGAAUUCUCUAACAGAGGUCAGACUAAUUAAUGCUGCUAAAAUGAGGGCUUCAAGUUACAGUGGAGGAAUGAAACGUCGGCUAAGUGUUGCAAUUGCACUUGUAGGUGAUCCUAGAGUAAUAAUACUUGAUGAACCCACAACAGGUAUGGAUCCAAUUAGCAGGAGACAUGUAUGGGACAUAAUAGAAAAAGCAAAACGAGGACGAUCCAUAAUUUUAACGACACACUCCAUGGAAGAAGCGGACACAUUGAGUGACCGUAUUGGAAUUAUGGUUAAAGGAAAACUCAGGUGCAUUGGAACUUCCAUCAGAUUGAAAUCGCGCUUUGGUACUGGUUUCGUUGCUCAUUUGACCUUCGCUGAAAACGUUAAUGGAAUAUCUGCCAGAGGAGAUGCUAAUUAUAUGAGCUCCUCUGCUGCUGUCAUACAAUUCUUUAAGCAUCGUCUAGGUGUGGUGCCUAAAGAGGAGAAUCAAUCCUUCCUGUCUUUUGUUAUCCCUCAUGAAAAAGAGCAGCUACUAACGAACUUGAAGAAAGACUUGGAGAAUUCGGUAUAGUUGAUAUCCAACUUGGUCUUACGAGUUUGGAAGAAGUUUUCCUAAAUAUUGAAGGCCAAGCUAAGAAGGAACAUGUUCCAGCUGAGGGAAAAUUAUAUUAGAGAUGUCGUUGAGAUACCUGGUCGGUAUGUAAGGAUCUUGCAGAUUAUUUCCAAAGUGCCACCUAGAAUUUACAACGAUUGUAGCGGAUAUUUUUUGGUAGAAUAAUGUACAUGGAACAAGAUGAUUAUGUUGAUUUGUUCAUUUCAGGGGCCGGGUACUCCCCUGAAGUUGCCAUAUAUAUCUAAAUGUGCAGCUACCAUUACGGGCAGGCAACACACAACACCUCCCGCCAAAAUGUGUUUGGUCAAAGAGGGAAGAUUCUUGGUCUUGUUGUAAACCUUGACCAAAUUUCUAAAAUAAUUUUCGGAAAAUAGAAUAUUUGUAGAUAUAGUGGUACUUUCAUGCUAUACUACAUACAAAUAUAGUUGUUUUAUACAUGUACUAGCAUUUUUUGCAUGAUAUGCAUGAGUGUCAUAUUAACAUUUUUUUCUCAAUUAGAGAAGGAAAUAUAAA